rnacentral:rRNA from 1 species
GAUGAACGCUGGCGGCGUGCCUAAUACAUGCAAGUCGAGCGAACAGACGAGUAGCUUUCUCCUCUGACGUUAGCGGCUGACGGGUGAGUAACACGUGGAUAACCUACCUAUAAGACUGGGAUAACUUCGGGAAACCGGAGCUAAUACCGGAUAAUAUAUUGAACCGCAUGGUUCAAUAGUGAAAGACGGUUUUGCUUUCACUUAUAGAUGUAUCCGCGCCGCAUUAGCUAGUUGGUAAGGUAACGGCUUACCAAGGCGACGAUGCGUAGCCGACCUGAGAGGGUGAUCGGCCACACUGGAACUGAGACACGGUCCAGACUCCUACGGGAGGCCGCAGUAGGGAAUCUUCCGCAAUGGGCGAAAGCCUGACGGAGCAACGCCGCGUGAGUGAUGAAGGUCUUCGGAUCGUAAAACUCUGUUAUUCGGGAAAAACAAAUGUGUAAGUAACUAUGCACGUCUUGACGGUACCUAAUCAGAAAGCCACGGCUAACUCCGUG